rnacentral:rRNA from 1 species
GAUGAACGCUGGCGGCGUGCCUAACACAUGCAAGUCGAGCGAGGGUUUGCUCAGUAUUGAGUAUUCUAAGUCUAGAAUGUUCAAUUCUGAGCAAAACCAAGCGGCGGACGGGUGAGUAACGCGUGGGCAACCUGCCCUAUACACAUGGAUAACAUACUGAAAAGUUUACUAAUACAUGAUAAUAUAUAUUUGUGGCAUCGCAGAUAUAUCAAAGUGUUAGCGGUAUAGGAUGGACCCGCGUCUGAUUAGCUAGUUGGUGAGAUAACUGCCCACCAAGGCGACGAUCAGUAGCCGACCUGAGAGGGUGAUCGGCCACAUUGGAACUGAGACACGGUCCAAACUCCUACGGGAGGCAGCAGUGGGGAAUAUUGCACAAUGGGCGAAAGCCUGAUGCAGCAACGCCGCGUGAACGAUGAAGGUCUUCGGAUCGUAAAGUUCUGUUGCAGGGGAAGAUAAUGACGGUACCCUGUGAGGAAG